CCUACGGGGGGCAGCAGUGAGGAAUAUUGGUCAAUGGGCUCACGCCUGAACCAGCCAAGUCGCGUGAGGGAAGACUGCCCUAUGGGUUGUAAACCUCUUUUGUCAGGGAGCAAUUGGCGCUACGUGUAGCGUUAUCGAGAGUCCCUGAAGAAAAACCAUCGGCAAACUCCGUCCCAGCAGCCGCGGUAAUACGGAGGAUGCGUGCGUUAUACGGAUUUAUUGGGUUUAAGGGGUGCGUAGGCGGAAUGCAAAGUCAGCGGUAAAAGCGCGGGGCUAAACCUCGCUCCGCAGUUGAAACUGGCGUUCUUGAGUGGGCGAGAAGUAGGCGGAAUGCGUGGUGUAGCAGUGAAAGGCAUAGAUAUCACGAAGAACUCCGAUUGCGAAGGCAGCAUACCGGCGCCCAACUGACGCUGAAGCACGAAAGCGUGGGUAUCGAACAGGAUUAGAUACCCGAGUAGUC
rnacentral:rRNA from 1 species